rnacentral:rRNA from 1 species
AACGAACGCUGGCGGCGUGCUUAACACAUGCAAGUCGAACGGUAAGGCUCCAGCUUGCUGGGGUACACGAGUGGCGAACGGGUGAGUAACACGUGGGUGACCUGCCCUGCACUUCGGGAUAAGCCUGGGAAACUGGGUCUAAUACCGGAUAGGACCAUGGUGUGGAUACUGUGGUGGAAAGUUUUUUCGGUGUGGGAUGGGCCCGCGGCCUAUCAGCUUGUUGGUGGGGUAAUGGCCUACCAAGGCGGCGACGGGUAGCCGGCCUGAGAGGGUGGACGGCCACAUUGGGACUGAGACACGGCCCAGACUCCUACGGGAGGCAGCAGUGGGGAAUAUUGCACAAUGGGCGGAAGCCUGAUGCAGCGACGCCGCGUGGGGGAUGACGGCCUUCGGGUUGUAAACUCCUUUCACCAUCGACGAAGGGUUUCUGACGGUAGAUGGAGAAGAAGCACCGGCUAACUACGUG